rnacentral:lncRNA from 1 species
UUAUAGUAUAACAUUUACAUAUUCGAAGUUGGGUCACACAACAGUGUCAUAGGUCGUGUGCUAAACCGUGUAACAAUCUAUUUUGGCUCACACAGUCAUGUCGCAGGCCAUGUGUUAGGUCGUGUAGAUAUUGCACCUAUAAUCAAUAAUUACACAAGGCCGUGCGUGGUGACCGUAUGUGGCACAUGGCCGUAUGCAUCCUUUUUGACCCCUAAAUCAAGCAAUGUCAUGCAUUAUUCCUUGCACAAUAAGACAUUCCAUAUCUAGAUCAAAUCCUAGGUUCAAAAACGCAUUUAAAUCAUCAAAUACAUGCUAAAUUUUAAUUCAUUUCACGCCUAACCAAUAUGCCAUUCAAAUGCACCACAAUUAAAGAUCAUUCAAUUACUAAUUUAGCUAAGUAAGCACAUGACAUUAAACAUCUAUUCAUGCCCAACCAUCAACCAAAUUAACCAACGUGCAAACAUAUUCAAAACUUACCAUUUCAAAGUAUUAACACUUAGCUCUUAACCAUUAAGAAUCAAUCCAACCAAAAACACUUUAAACACAUAUUCAAAACCAAACAUUUCACUAGGAACACCAUUAUAGUAUAACAAUCUGUUUUGGCUCACAUGGUCGUGUUGCAAGCCAUGUGCUACGCUGUGUGGAUACUGCACCGAUAAUCAAUAAUUACACACGGCUGUGCGUGGUGACUGUGUGUGGUACAUGGCCGUGUGCACCCUUUUUGACCUCUAAAUUAAGUAAUGUCAUGCAUUGUUCCUUGCACAACAAGACAUGCCAUAUCUAGAUCAAUUCCUAGGCUCAAAAACACAUUUAAAUCAUCAAAUACAUGUUAAAAAUUAAUUCAUUUCACGCCUAACUAAUAUGCCAUUCAAAUGCACCACAAUUAAAUAUCAGUAAAUUACUAAUUUAGCUAAGUAAACACAUGACAUUAAACAUCUAUUCAUGCUCAACCAUCAACCAAAUUAACCAAAGUACAAACAUAUUCAAAACUUACCAUUUCAAAGUAUUACCACUUAGCUCUUGACCAUUAAGAAUCAAUCCAACCAAAAACGCUUUAAACACAUUCAAAACCAAACAUUUCACUAGGAACACCAUUAUAAUAUAACAUUUACAUAUUCGAAGUUGGGUCAUACGACAGUGUCGUAGGCCGUAUUCUAAACCGUGUAACAAUCUAUUUUGGCACACACGGUCGUGUCGCAGGCUAUGUGCUAGGCCGUGUGGAUAUGCACCUAUAAUCAAUAAUUACACAUGGUUGUGUUUGGUGACUGUGUGUGGCACAUGGCCGUGUGCACCCUUUUUGACCCCUAAAUCAAGCAAUGUCAUGCAUUAUUCCUUGCACAACAAGACAUGGCAUAUCUAGAUCAAUUCCUAGGUUCAGAAACGCAUUUAAAUCAUCAAAUACAUGCUAAAAUUUCAUUCAUUUCAUGCCUAACCAAUAUGUCAUUCAAAUGUACCACAAUUAAAGAUCAUUCAAUUACUAAUUUAGCUAAGUAAGCACAUGACAUUAAACAUCUAUUCAUGCUCAACCAUCAACCAAAUUAACCAAAGUACAAACAUAUUCAAAACUUACCAUUUCAAAGUAUUACCACUUAGCUCUUGACCAUUAAAAAUCAAUCUAACCAAAAACACUUUAAACCCAUAUUCAAAACCAAACAUUUCACUAGGAACACCAUUAUAGUAUAAAAUUUACAUAUUUACAACAAAACACCUAUAUACAUGCCACAUCUCAAAACGAAAUACAAAACCUACCAAAUUGGCUGGAUAGUGUGAGCUCUCAGUCGAUCCGUCCGAUCAAUCCGUAACUUGACAACUACAAAGAUCACAUAUGAAAUAAGUAAGUUAAAGAAGCUUAGUAAGCUCAUAGCAUAAACAUCAAAAUUAACUUACCUUAAUUCAAAGUAAACAUUUAAAAUGACAGUUUAUAUUUCCUGACACUAAAUUCAAAUUUAUCAAACACAUUAGUAAUUGUUCACAUAACCAAAUACAUUAAAUCAACCUCCACCUCAAAGGUUCCUCUCAUACUAAAAUUCACAAUUAAACCAUAUAACAACUCAUACAUGUAACUAAAAGAAUCAUUGUAACAUUUUCAAUUACCAUUACCAUGAAAAAUGCUAUAACAUAUACACACAUAAAUAUAUUGAUUCAAUUGUCACAUGGCCCGAUGAACUAGUAACUUGACUUGGAUACUUGGGUAACUACACCACACCAGAAGCAUCCUAGAUGAAUAACAUAAGUAUCGAAGUACAAACAGAGACACGAAUGUGCAAUCAGCGGCACUGAAGUGCAAACAGAGAUACCGAAGUGUAAUAGAGGCACCAAAGUGCAAACAGAGGCACUGAAGUGCAAUCCCAUACAAGCGCGCAUACUGACCCUGUUGGCAUGCCAACUAUAUCUUAAGCGUUUACUACGUUCAAACGAGCAUUAUACUUAAAUUUGUUACCUUUAUACACCUUCACCAUUCAUGAGCACUUCAUCAUCUCCAUAUACAUACUAUAAUUUCAAUAUGCUCAUGUCAAAGAUGUGCAAUCACAAAGAUUAUCACCAACCAUUAUUCAAUUUCAUAUGAACUUGAUUUCAAUAUCCAAUAUCAUAUAAGUAACUUAUAAAACUUCACAUACAUUUAUACAAUUAAUUAGAAUUAAUAAUAUAAUCUUAAGAAAUUUACAUUUACAUACCAAAACACUAUGAACUUACCUAAGAUUCACUUCCUGUUUAUACAUAGAGACUAUUCUGUAAUUUUUCCAUUUCCUCAAUUAAUGUCUUUUUGGUUCAGUUCUUGAUCUAUUUAAUAGUUAAAUACAAUCUAUUAAUUACACAUACAUUUCAAAACAAUUCAAUGCAUAUGACCCUAAAUUUUUUAUUAAUUACAUAUUUUCCCUAAACUUUUACAUUUUGCACAAUUUAAUCCCUAAACUUAAAAUUUCCAAAUUUAACAAAAUUUUCCAAAUACUCAAUCUAGCCGAAUAUUUACCCCACCAUAUUCAGCCCACAUUUAUUCUAAAUUCACAAAAAUUCUCUAUCAAUUCUAACAUUUAAUCAAUUUAAUCCUUUACUCAAAAACUAACAAAAAAACACUUUAUAAGACACUCAUAAUCAACAACUUAUAGCUCAAAUCUAUUAUUUAACAUCAUGAAUAUCAAGAACUCAUCAAUGGUAACAUCUAAAAUCUUUGACAGUUUCAAAUACAAAGCUAUGAGUUAGCUGGACCUAGUUAUAACGAUCGCAAAAAUAUAAAAAUUACAAGAAACAAUAUAAAAAUUACUCACAUGCAUGCACCAAAUACUUGGCCAAACCCUAAGCUUCAUAAAAUGGUAUUCUUCCUUUUCUAAUUUCGGC